GAUGAGCGCUGGCGGCGUGCCUAAUACAUGCAAGUCGAGCGAACGGACGAGAAGCUUGCUUCUCUGAUGUUAGCGGCGGACGGGUGAGUAACACGUGGAUAACCUACCUAUAAGACUGGGAUAACUUCGGGAAACCGGAGCUAAUACCGGAUAAUAUUUUGAACCGCAUGGUUCAAAAGUAAAAGACGGUCUUGCUGUCACUUAUAGAUGGAUCCGCGCUGCAUUAGCUAGUUGGUAAGGUAACGGCUUACCAAGGCAACGAUGCAUAGCCGACCUGAGAGGGUGAUCGGCCACACUGGAACUGAGACACGGUCCAGACUCCUACGGGAGGCAGCAGUAGGGAAUCUUCCGCAAUGGGCGAAAGCCUGACGGAGCAACGCCGCGUGAGUGAUGAAGGUCUUCGGAUCGUAAAACUCUGUUAUUAGGGAAGAACAUAUGUGUAAGUAACUGUGCACAUCUUGACGGUACCUAAUCAGAAAGCCACGGCUAACUACGUG
rnacentral:rRNA from 1 species